GUGUGUAUCUGCGGUGUAUCUGCUGCAGAUACACAGCAGUGUAUCUGUAGUAGAUACACAGCUGUGUGUAUCUGCAGAUACACAGUAGUGUGUAUCUAAUAGGUAUCUACAGAUACACACAGCUGUGUAUCUUCUACAGAUACACUGCUGUGUAUCUAUAGCAGAUACACAGCAGUGUAUCUGCAGUAGAUACACACUGCAGAUACACA
rnacentral:pre_miRNA from 1 species